rnacentral:lncRNA from 10 species
CUUCUUGCCAACUCUGGUUUCCUCCUCACCCUGUCUGGGGUCUGGGGAGAUUUUCACCCCAGAGGCAUGGGAGAUGGCCAGAGAUGACUUCCUUUUCUUCUGCCCACUGAGGAACUCCAAAUGGCCAAGCACCUGGUUCCUUGGGCUGGAUGACUUCUCUGUCCGUCUGGCACGCAGCGUGGUCUCAGGUUCUACGUGCCCCUCGCAAAGGGUGCUGACACCCUUCUCUUUCUUCUUUUUCUUCACUAGAGGCAUCUCAGGUGCCUGCCCGUGGACCACACUCUUAGAGGGGGCUGUGGCUUUUAUAGGAGAAACAUGGGCAAAGUAAUCAUCAUUGUUUAAAAUUGAGUAUUGAGUCCCUGGUUCUUUGACCACUUUCUUCUUCUUUUUCUUCUCUGGGAUCCCAGGGCCCAGGUCUACUUUCCGGUGGGCCAAACUUCCCCGCCUCCACGUGAGAGCCGGCUCCGCCGUGACCCGGAAGUCCACUUUCGGGUUGCACGCGUGGCUUCUCUUACACACAAAUUUUCUUCCACUUCUGCCACUCCUGAGACAGCAAGACUGAUACCUUAUUUUCCUCCUCCUCCUUGGCCUACUCAACAUGAAGAUGAUGAGGAUGACGACCUUUACGAUGAUCCACUUCCAUCUAAUGAUUGAGGCAGUGUCUCACUCUGUUGUCCAGGCUGGAGUGCAGCGAUAUGGUCAUAGCUCACUGCAGCCUCGAACUCCUGGGCUCAAGGGAUCCUGCCACCUCAGCUAAGGCCUGCAGUAGCUAAGACUAUAAUCCCUUAAAUAUUUUAGAAGAGAAGGAGCAAGAGAAGAAGAUCUCAAAAUACUUUUUCAACACUGGCUGGUUUUGAGAAGCUCACUUUCAAAAUUUGAUAUGGACAUUGCAUUUGACGAGACAGUAGAGAUGGGAUUUCACUGUGUUGGCCAAACUGGUCUCGAACUCCUGACCUCGGGAUCCACCCGCCUCAGCCUCCCAAAGUGCUGGGAUUACAGCCAUGAGCGACCGCGCCCAGCCGUCACAGGAUUUCAUACUUAUUAAGAUCCCUCUUUCUUCUUUAGGAUUCCCAAGUAACUUGUCUCUGCUAUUUUUAAUGUAUAUGACCGAAUAAAUUCAAAAUGAGCCUUAUGAAAAUAGGCUAAGGUCAAACAUUGUAUACUCCUAAUAUCUCCUAGCAGUCCAUGAAUAUCUCCAAAUACGUUGGAGGGAUUGAGAUGGACUCAAAACUUAUUAGAGAAUCUUGAAUACUGUGGGCAGUGUAAAGCCCUCUCCUAUCAAUAAUAUUUCUUGUUGCCUUGGGAGGCAACUAGAAUAUGAUGAUGGAAAUGAUACAGAGGUCAGUUAUAUGCUUUUAUUUCCCCCAUAUUUUGAGAGCUGCAUAUGGUAUAUAUCUGCCCAUAAAUUUAUGUAUGCAUAUUAUGUAUACAUCUGGGUGCAUAUAUUGAAAGGCAGUAUAGCGGAGUGGUUAGGGAAUGGGUCUGGAAGCCAGAUUACCUGGGUUUGAAGCCAGGCUCUUUCACCUGCUAUUCGUAUAACCUCGGGCAAGUUAGUUACAUAACCUCUCAGUGCUUCAGUUUCCUUAUCUGUAAAAUGAUACAAUAAAAUUAUGUACCUCAUGGAGUGGCUGUGAGGAUUAAAUACGUUUAUAUACAUAAAACACCUAGAACAAUGCCUGUAAAAUGAUAGGAAUUCAAAAAUUGUAGCUACUUAACAAUAUAUUGUAUGCAUUUUUAUAUACAUCAUAUGGAUACAUACAUAUGUAUAUAUAUAUAUAAUACAUAAUCGCCUUGCCUCCAAAAUAAGACAAUUUCAUACACAUAAAAUAUAUAUAAAUGUCAUAUAUAUACAUACACACGCACACACACACACGUACACUCCAUGUAUAGCACAUUUCGAUUUUCUUGGAAAUUUCAGUUAUCUAAUGACCAACACGAGUGUGGAUACCAACAUAGCUGAUGACUGGCAUGAACAUAGUAUACAUUUGAUAUUUUAUAUCUAUCUAUUUAAUGAAAUAAUACUUGCCACUGAAAACUGGCCCUAAUAUAACAUGUACAUGGCAUCAAGGUGAAGUGAAAAAGCUCAAGCAUGACACUGGACAAUGGAUUUGCAUCCUGGGUCAAUCACUUAAAAACUGCAUGGUCUUGGACAAGUCAUUUAACCUUUCUGAGCUUUAGUUUUCUCAUCUGAAGAACAGGGAUGUAAAAUUUCUUGCAAGUUUGUGGUGAGAAGGAGACACAAAAUACAUUUUUAAAAAAGCAUUUGGCCAACAUCCUGGUACAUAGCAAAUGCUUAAUAAAUGGAAACGCUGAUCUUUAAUGUGUCAGUCCCGCUACAAAUUAGGGUAUUUUUUUUUUAAGCCCAACACAAACAAACAUCCCACUGGAAGUUUUUGAUCAGCUAUGCUGUUGCUGUAUAAUGAUCAUGGUUUAGUCUUAAGGGCAUGUGGUUUCAAUAACUAUAUGUGGUUGGAAGUUAUGCUGCCUGUAGGAACGAAAGGAGGAAAGAGAUUGGUGUAAUUCAAGUUUCACCAGUAUCUCACUAGGCAGUUUUGGAACUUUGUGCCUUCUCUCCCUCUGGCUUCCCUUCUUCUGCCAGUAGGAAGCCUAGUGGCCCCAGAAACGGUUACACUCAAGAAGCAGUAGAGGCUGAAAAUCUGCGGAGGUGGCACUGCUUUGCUUGGUGGGGUUAGGCCAAGCAGGUAGGUUCGUAACCUACUGGUCAGGUGCCAGAAGACUUUUUCUUCCCUGGGUGUUGUCUGAGAGAAAGGGAUUACGACCCAGCAGAUGUUCACUGUAAAUGACAAUCCCUUUUCAAACGUUAAGUAUGUUCAUAUAAGUAGUAGCGAGAGGCAACUUGUUUUGUAGUUGGGCCCUGUUUGCUUCUUGCACAGUAUUUAAGGAACUGGGCCUGACAUAGUAAUAGCUAACUUUGUAAAGCAACUACAUAUGUACUAUGAGAAUAAACCAUUCAACAAACAACAACAACGACAACAACAACAACAACAAAAAGAGAAGAAACCAUUCAACAUACACUGGGAACUCUUAGAAUAAAAGUAACACUUAAAUUUAAGGUGGAGUACGAUCAUCAACGAAUUCUUAUGCCAUAUGUGCAAGUGGCUCUGAUGUGAAACUUGCAUGGUAGAGAAAAUGUAAGGAAAGGAAACAUAUAGGAAAUGUGUUUCAUGCACACACACACACAAUUUUUUCACACAGUUGAUGAAGCUACAUUGAACCAGCAAUUUGAAUAUUAUUAUUAUCCAUCUCUCUCAUUAAAUACUUAGGAACACAUAGUAAAAUUGCUUAAGGAUGGACAUUUAGAUUGCCAUAUCCAGAGUUAUAUCCAAGCAGCAAAUGAUUGCACUGCUUAUAAAUUCUAGGCAGAUGAUAAUUUAAAGUCCCCACGAAAGCCCUGAGCUUAUUUGAUUGUUCUCUUAAUUACUGGGCUCUAUGCUAUCAAAUAUUUGUGUAAGAGGAAGCUUUUCUUUGUGGGAGUGGAUAAUAGCUGUGCUUACACUUUGAAAUUUUUGCCUUGAGUUAUUAAGAUUUACAUUUCUCACUUUUGUUCCAGGGAAAGGUGUUUAGCCGUUUUUAGAAAACAGGUACCACAUAAUCAAUCAUCAAACACCCGGGAAAGUUUCCGCCCUUGACAAGUGUAAAAUCUCAGGUAUUAGCAACCCACCUCCAGAAACAAAUCUACCAAGGGUGGAAAGGGGUAGAAAGGAUGUCUCACUUUCCUAGGUGAAUAUAUUGUGAUUGGUAUGUGUGGCAUGCAUUGAGAAAUUACAUUUGCUUACUAACUGCCGUUUAGAAAUCAGCCCGAAAAAGUCUGGGAGAGAUCGCCCAGAGACAGCCAAGCCCCGAGCCUCGCUCCCAAGCUCCUCCGGAGUCCUGCUCUUCUAGGCGCGUGAAGAAUAAAUAGAGUCUGGUCAUUGAUCUCCUGAUGGUGUUGUUGCACUCUGGGUAAUGCUGGGGGUGCCCAGGGACGCGGCGCAGUCCAUGGUUGCGCGUCUGCAGAGAAUUACAGAGAUGGGGACAGAGAACACGCACCUCGGCAUAAAAGCAAAAGGAGAGAAGGCUACAGCGAGGAAAAGAAACGUGUUGCUCGAAUUGUUUCCUUAGU